CGUGUAGGCGGCUUGACAAGUCAGAUGUGAAAGCCCUGGGCUUAACUCAGGAAGUGCAUUUGAAACUGUCAGGCUAGAGUAAGGGAGAGGAAAGUGGAAUUCCUGGUGUAGAGGUGAAAUUCGUAGAUAUCAGGAGGAACACCGGUGGCGAAGGCGACUUUCUGGCCCUAUACUGACGCUGAGACGCGAAAGCGUGGGUAGCAAACA
rnacentral:rRNA from 1 species